UUAUCUGCCCAGUAUCUGAAAUUACUUUUCCUUGGGCAGGAGAGCAGCUUGGUAGUGGAGCAGUGCCCCCAAGUACCACAUCAAAAUAUUAAGAAGAGAAACAGAAUAUAGGAAGUUAUCCGUAUACACAUUGUAUGCCAGCGGGAUGGAAGGACAUGGGGAGAGAGCACCUGUGAGGCAUUACCUCCCCUGGGACACUGGAGGACAGCUCUCCUGGACAGCGGUGUCACCACAGGUUCUGCCAGCGUAGAUUGGGAGUGAGGCUUUCAUGCAGCCCUGUUGGUUCCCUUGGUGGCCGCCAUGGGGAGCUGAGGAGUCCAGCAGUGUAUUUCCAUCACACCUGGGAGUAAUUCCAGGUGAUGCCGAAGAAUCACCUAGGACACUUCCAGGACCUGUUAAAGGCGUGCUUGCCACUACUGAAAGGAAAGCGACCAUCAGGAUGCAGAAGACACAGCUUACCUGAAAGGGAGUGGACAUGAAAGCAAGAAGAAUAAGUCGACCUUAUGAGGUUUUGAACUGUAAGAACAGAACCGUACUGUCACGCUGGAAAUGAAGUGGAGUAGUUCCAAUGGGAGAAAAGUAAUAAAACGAGUGUUGUGUGCUUAAA